GCCGGGCGUGGUGGCUCAUGCCUGUAAUCCCAGCACUGUGGGAGGCAGAGGCGGGUGGAUCACCUGAGGUCGGGAGUUCGAGACCAUCCUGACCAACAUGGAGAAACCCCGUCUCUA
rnacentral:SRP_RNA from 1 species